UGGGGAAUAUUGCACAAUGGGCGCAAGCCUGAUGCAGCCAUGCCGCGUGUGUGAAGAAGGCCUUCGGGUUGUAAAGCACUUUCAGCGGGGAGGAAGGCGUUUAGGUUAAUAACCUUGGCGAUUGACGUUACCCGCAGAAGAAGCACCGGCUAACUCCGUGCCAGCAGCCGCGGUAAUACGGAGGGUGCAAGCGUUAAUCGGAAUUACUGGGCGUAAAGCGCACGCAGGCGGUCUGUCAAGUCGGAUGUGAAAUCCCCGGGCUCAACCUGGGAACUGCAUUCGAAACUGGCAGGCUAGAGUCUUGUAGAGGGGGGUAGAAUUCCAGGUGUAGCGGUGAAAUGCGUAGAGAUCUGGAGGAAUACCGGUGGCGAAGGCGGCCCCCUGGACAAAGACUGACGCUCAGGUGCGAAAGCGUGGGGAGCAAACAGG
rnacentral:rRNA from 1 species